rnacentral:rRNA from 1 species
CCUACGGGAGGCAGCAGUAGGGAAUCUUCCACAAUGGGCGCAAGCCUGAUGGAGCAACACCGCGUGAGUGAAGAAGGGUCUCGGCUCGUAAAGCUCUGUUGUUGGAGAAGAACGUGCGUGAGAGUAACUGUUCACGCAGUGACGGUAUCCAACCAGAAAGUCACGGCUAACUACGUGCCAGCAGCCGCGGUAAUACAUAGGGAGCAAGCGUUAUCCGGAAUUAUUGGGUGAAAAGGGUGCGUAGACGGGAAAUUAAGUUAGUUGUGAAAUCCCUUGGCUUAACUGAGGAACUGCAACUAAAACUG